rnacentral:RNase_P_RNA from 1 species
CCAGGAAACCAGACGACCGCGGCGAUUCCUUCGGGAAUCGUUGAGGAAAGUCCGAACACCGAUGCCGUCGCAAGGCGGCAUGAGUGGCAGUCGCGAAAUGCGACCGGGAGCAAGGGAUCGAUCGUUCUCUCGGGUUACGAGAGAGUGGCUGAUCCUCCAAGCCCAGGGACAGUGCAACAGAAAAGACACCGCCGAUGGCCCCGCAAGGGGAUCAGGUAAGGUUGAAAUCGUGGGGUAAGAGCCCACGCGGGACAUGCCUCGUGAGGGGCGCCGUGGAAAACACCUGCCCGGUGCAAGAGCAAGUUUGGUCGCUCGCAUAGAGAGAUGGUCGUCACUCCGCUUCGGCGGGGGACAGAAUUCGGCUUACCGGUUUGCUGGGUGU